rnacentral:lncRNA from 1 species
UCUCACACAUAUGAUGUAUAGUGGCACAUGAUCGAAUGUCACAACUUUAUAUAUAACAGGAGUUCUAUACAAAAUAAAUAAUUACAUUAUAAGGAGACAACGGUCCAGCAACCCAAAAGUUGACUGGGAGACGACGACCUAGACCUCUCACGAACUCAUCACAGCAUCCUCCAUGAGCGUCAUCCUGCAGUACCUGGUCUUGACCUGUGGUGUAUGUGAGACAGCAAGAGUGAGCUCACAUACGUUCAUCGCUCAACAAGUUGUGGGGAAUAAUGUGCAUGAACUCGCCAAAGGUGGGAGCUCACGUGAAGUGUAAGGCUUACCAAAGAAGAUGGUUAGGGCUGAGCAUUGCUUUUAAAGUUGGUCAAAAUUUUAUUAGCAAUUACUAAGUAUAAGUAAAUACCAACCCAAUUAAGCAGUAGAACAAAAAUAACAACUUCACCUGCUAUGCAAUGCAUAUGACAAAUUGAAUUUAGUUCCAUAAUUUAAUCAUGUGAGUGUCCGAGCCGCUCAUGACCGUGAGCACGGCUAGUAUACCAGUUUUACACUCUGCAGAGGUUGCGCAUCUUUACCCACAAGUCGUGUAUCCCAUGUCGCCAGGGUUUGCAAAGCCCUUAGACACUUCCGAGGUGAAUGGCUAGGGAUCCACUACGAGGCCUUUACAAAGUUCCACUAGCUUCCGAAAACCCGCUACAGUUUAUAGGAAGAUCCAGUACAGGAAUCCCUUGCAGGACCGCCAUCGCAGCAAAAUCCUCCCGAGGGCACUUCCCGCACUGACCUCUCCCCUACUGCCCUUGCCCCUUUCGGGUAAGGUAGUCUUCCACUAGCUUUCCUAAUUAGUCAGCCAAGGGCGUCCCAUUAAACCCUUGUGGUAGCACUGUUUUCCCGGGUGGUUCUCCAUGUUCCAAUUAACAUAAUGAUCUCAAUAUGAACAAUAAAUAAUAACUGAUAACAAAAGUGUAACCAUGAAUAGUGUAUCUCCAUACCCAAAACCACAUAUAGCACUAGCAAGUACUACCCAGAAAGUUCAGUGGUGAACAAGGUAUAAAGAUAGACAAACUAGGGUAACCUAUUGGGUCCCAUCAAAAUUAACCUAUGCAGAUCAUUAUGAUUAAUUAGAACAUGAGUAGGUGAAAAGAAGUGAUCAAGGGCACAACUUGCCUGGGCCUUGAGAUUCCAGGUACCAGGAUGAUCUUCAGGUGACACGUGACCUCACUGCUAGUCGUAGCAUUACAAACAAACAGUGUAUAGACAGAAUUAACAUUACACCAAACAUAUAUGCAAAAUACAUAUUAAUAAUCUACAUGUUAAAAUAAGAUCACAGGAAAAAGAAUUAUUAAUUUUGGAGUUAUAGAUUUUAAGUUAUGGAUUUCCAAAGAUUCUAUGUGCUUAGUACAAGAUUAAUUAAGAUAACAAUUUUAAUGUGACUUUUAUGUAAAACCAGUGGUACUAAUUGAUAAACAAUAGUAUUACAAAAUUAUAGGAAGUGGGAUGGAUUAAUUUGGAGUUCAUAUGCAUUUUCUAUGAAUUAUAUAAAUUCUAGGAAUUAUUUUUAUAUUAAAAACUCAUUUUCUAAUUAAUUUUCCUGAUUUUAUAACUCUCUGGACUGGGCCUCAUUUACUGAAAAGCGCAGGGGCUCUACGCAAGAUUUCCGAGACUCAGGCUACACCCGCACAGGACGGCGGGUUGAAUCCGAGAAAACCCAGGGUUUCUUUUAUAAAACAUACCCGCGAAGGGGUACGGGGUGAUAUAGGCCGUCGGAUUAGAAAUCCAAGGCCCAGAUCAGAACCUGGCUUAAGUGAACCGGUAAGCUCUGGCGGCCGCCCGAUCCGAGAUCUACGGAUCGGAUUUAAAAUACCCGAGGUGGCUUCGAAUGCGUCCGAUCCCCAUCCAACGGUUCGGAUCAUCACACGCGAAGGGGUAUCUUCCUAUUCUAAUCGCAGCCGUUCAUUCGCGGAUCCACGGCCACGGUAACAUCUCCACUCCCCCGACCGGGAGGCCGGCGGCGCACGAGUGUUCCCCCGGCGGCGCCAUGGCCGGCGAAGGGCCGAUUAACGCACGAGCGCACCUAUUUUAAAAUUGACAGGCGCAGAACAGAGAGGAGAGGGUAGCGAACAUAAUGGUGGAUUCCAUACCGAGGAUUAAGCUCCCAGGAGUCCCGUCCACGGCGCACGGCGGUAAUCCGCGGUGGGGCAAGCGACGGCGAGCAAUUCCGGUGUCUUCAACGCUCCUUGGUCAUGGCCACCCCAUCGUGUAUGCUCCACGUGCAACCCCGAAGCCCCAGGCCCACACGCCGAGGAUGAUUCGCCACCGUGGGCGGAGAUCACCGGCGGCGGACGGAGAUGCGGGGAGAAAGCACGGUCCCGAGGAGAGAGAUGUGAAGGAGAGGGGGGUCGCGGCUACGUACUUAUACUCAGGGGGCGCUUCGCGGUUGUUGUACGGGUACCGAGAUCACCGGCGAGCUCGCGGAGUCCGCGCGAUGGUGUUCGUCGCGGCAACAGACUUCGCACAGCACGCGUGGAGUUCGGAAGGAAGACGGAGACGACCCUGACGA